GAUGAACGCUGGCGGCGUGCCUAAUACAUGCAAGUCGAGCGAACGGACGAGAAGCUUGCUUCUCUGAUGUUAGCGGCGGACGGGUGCGUAACACGUGGAUAACCUACCUAUAAGACUGGGAUAACUUCGGGAAACCGGAGCUAAUACCGGAUAAUAUUUUGAACCGCAUUGUUCAAAAGUGAAAGACGGUCUUGCUGUCACUUAUAGACGGCUCCGCGCUGCAUUAGCUAGUUGGUAAGGUAACGGCUUACCAAGGCAACGAGGCAUAGCCGACCUGAGAGGGUGAUCGGCCACACGGGAACUGAGACACGGCCCAGACUCCGACGGGAGGCAGCAGUAGGGAAUCCUACGCAAUGGGCGAGAGCCUGAUGGAGCAACGUCGGGGGAGUGAUGAAGGUCUUCGGAUCGUAAAACUCUGUUAUUAGGGAAGAACAAAUGUGUAAUUAACUGUGCACAUAUUGACGGUACCUAAUCAGAAAGCCACGGCUAACUACGUG
rnacentral:rRNA from 1 species